AACGAACGCUGGCGGCAGGCUUAACACUUGCAAGUCGAGCGGGGUGAGGUGCUUCGGUACUGAUCCUAGCGGCGGACGGGUGAGUAAUGCUUAGGAAUCUGCCAUUUAGUGGGGGACAACAUUCCGAAAGGAAUGCUAAUACCGCAUACGUCCUACGGGAGAAAGCAGGGGAUCUUCGGACCUUGCGCUAAAUGAUGAGCCUAAGUCGGAUUAGCUAGUUGGUGGGGUAAAGGCCUACCAAGGCGACGAUCUGUAGCGGGUCUGAGAGGAUGAUCCGCCACACUGGGACUGAGACACGGCCCAGGCGCCUACGGGAGGCAGCAGUGGGGAAUAUUGGACAAUGGGCGGAAGCCUGAUCCAGCCAUGCCGCGUGUGUGAAGAAGGCCUUUUGGUUGUAAAGCACUUUAAGCGAGGAGGAGGCUACCUGGAUUAAUACUCUGGGAUAGUGGACGUUACUCGCAGAAUAAGCACCGGCUAACUCUGUGCCAGCAGCCGCCGUAA
rnacentral:rRNA from 1 species